UACGUAGGGUCCGAGCGUUAAUCGGAAUUACUGGGCGUAAAGCGUGCGCAGGCGGUUUUGUAAGCCAGAUGUGAAAUCCCCGGGCUCAACCUGGGAACUGCAUUUGGGACUGCAAGGCUUGAGUACGGCAGAGGGGGGUAGAAUUCCACGUGUAGCAGUGAAAUGCGUAGAGAUGUGGAGGAAUACCGAUGGCGAAGGCAGCCCCCUGGGAUAACACUGACGCUCAUGCACGAAAGCGUGGGGAGCAAACAGG
rnacentral:rRNA from 1 species